UACGUAGGGGGCGAGCGUUGUCCGGAAUCACUGGGCGUAAAGCGCGCGUAGGUGGCGCGUCAAGAUCGGCGUGAAAUCCCCGGGCUCACCUCGGGGGGGUCGUCGGUGACUGGCGUGCUUGGGUUCCGCAGAGGCAGGUAGAAUUCCCGGUGGAGCGGUGAAAUGCGUAGAGAUCGGGAGGAAUACCAGUGGCGAAGGCGGCCUGCUGGGCGGCAACCGACGCUGAGGCGCGAAAGCGUGGGGAGCGAACCGGAUUAGAUACCCGGGUAGUCCACGCCCUAAACGAUGGGUACUAGGCGUGGGGGGUAUCGACCCCCUCCGUGCCGGAGCUAACGCGGUAAGUACCCCGCCUGGGGAGUACGGCCGCAAGGUUGAAACUCAAAGGAAUUGACGG
rnacentral:rRNA from 1 species